CNCGUUACGANUUCGCCCCUUAGAGUUUGAUCAUGGCUCAGGAUGAACGCUAGCGGCAGGCUUAACACAUGCAAGUCGAGGGGCAGCAUGUCCAGCAAUGGAUGAUGGCGACCGGCGGAAGGGUGCGUAACGCGUGAGCAACAUGCCCUAUACAGGGAGAUACACCAGGGAAACUUGGUCUAACAUCCCAUAGCAUUCAUUGAAGGCAUCUUUAAUGAAUUAAAGCUUCGGUGGUAUAGGAUUGGCUCGCGUGACAUUAGCCAGAUGGUGAGGUAACGGCUCACCAUAGCAAUGAUGUCUAGGGGUUUUGAGAGGAAGGCCCCCCACACUGGGACUGAGACACGGCCCAGACUCCUACGGGAGGCAGCAGUGAGGAAUAUUGGACAAUGGAUGGAAAUCUGAUCCAGCCAUGCCGCGUGCAGGAAGACGGCCUUAUGGGUUGUAAACUGCUUUUAUACGGGAGCAAUAAGGGUUACGAGUAAUCCGAUGAGAGUACUGUAUGAAUAAGGAUCGGCUAACUCCGUGCCAGCAGCCGCGGUAAUACGGAGGAUCCGAGCGUUAUCCGGAAUUAUUGGGUUUAAAGGGUGCGUAGGCGGCCAUUUAAGUCAGCGGUGAAAUUUUGCAGCUUAACUGUAACAGUGCCGUUGAUACUGUUUGGCUAGGAUUUGGUUGUAGUGUGCGGAAUGUGUGGUGUAGCGGUGAAAUGCUUAGAUAUCACACAGAACACCGAUUGCGAAGGCAGCACACUAAGUCAUUAUUGACGCUGAGGCACGAAAGUGUGGGGAUCAAACAGGAUUAGAUACCCUGGUAGUCCACACUGUAAACGAUGAUAACUCGCUGUCNGCGAUAC
rnacentral:rRNA from 1 species